AUUGAACGCUGGCGGCAGGCCUAACACAUGCAAGUCGAGCGAGCGGCGGACGGGUGAGUAAUGUAUGGGAAACUGCCUGAUGGAGGGGGAUAACUACUGGAAACGGUAGCUAAUACCGCAUACUAUCGGAUGAACCCAUAUGGGAUUAGCUAGUAGGUGGGGUAAUGGCUCACCUAGGCGACGAUCCCUAGCUGGUCUGAGAGGAUGAUCAGCCACACUGGAACUGAGACACGGUCCAGACUCCUACGGGAGGCAGCAGUGGGGAAUAUUGCACAAUGGGCGCAAGCCUGAUGCAGCCAUGCCGCGUGUGUGAAGAAGGCCUUAGGGUUGUAAAGCACUUUCAGUGGGGAGGCGUUACCGGCAGAAGAAGCACCGGCUAACUCCGUGCCAGCAGCCGCGGUAAUAC
rnacentral:rRNA from 1 species